rnacentral:rRNA from 1 species
UGCAAGUCGAGCGAGAAAUUUACUUCGGUAAAUGGACAGCGGCGAAAGGGACAGUAAUGUGUAGGUACCUACCCUCUGAUCUGGGAUAGCUGCGGGAAACUGCAGGUAAUACCGGAUAAUGUCUUCGGACCAAAGGUGUGAUUCCGUCUGAGGAGGGGCCUGCAUCCUAUUAGCUUGUUGGUGAGGUAAUGGCUCACCAAGGCAACGAUGGGUAGCGGGUGUGAGAGCAUGACCCGCGUCAUUGGGACUGAGACACUGCCCAGACAUCUACGGAUGGCUGCAGUCGAGAAUCUUCGGCAAUGGGCGAAAGCCUGACCGAGCGACGCCGCGUGCGGGAUGAAGGCCCUCGGGUUGUAAACCGCUGUCGUUGGGGAGGAAAUGCAGGAGGGCUAUCCCUCUUGUUUGACCGAUCCAAG